UACUAUAUGUUAAGACACUCUCGAUGGUACUGUGAUAAUAGGACAGAAGUAGGUGCUGAGAUAGAUUCAGUCCCCUGAGCAUUCUCAGGAAAUACAACCUCCCCUGCACCUUCCUCACAACCAUAUUAAUAUUUACAGUCCAUGAGAGGUCCUCAGAGAUGUAAGUGCCCAGGUAUUUAAAACUACCAACCCUCUCCACCUCCUCGCCAUUUAUGUGCAAUGGUAAAAAUACGCUUUUCUUUCUCCUAAAGUCAAUUAUGAGUUCUUUGGUUUUUUGGUGUUAAGCAUAAGAUUGUUUUCUUUACACCAUUGAAUUAACCCCUGUACUUCUUUCCUAUAAGCAGUCUCAUCGUUCUCACUAAUGAGCCCCACCACUGUUGUAUCAUCCGCAAAUUUGAUGAUUGUGUUGGACUCAUACAGUGGGGUGCAAUCAAAUGUGUACAGGGAAUAGAGAAAGGGACUUAGCACACAUCCCUGAGGGGCUCCUGUGCUUAAUACUAGAGUAGAAGAAUAGUAAGGGCCCAUUCUCACUGUCUGCGGCCUAUCAGUCAGGAAAUUCCUUACCCACAGACAGAUCUUCUGAUGUAUACCCAAAUUGGUCAUUUUAAGAAAUAACCUGUCUGGCAGAAUUGUAUUGAAGGCAGAACUGUAGUCCACAAACAACAGCCUUGCGUAGGUUCCCUGUCGUUCUAGAUGACUCAGUACAGUAUGGACAGCGAUGGAAAUAGCAUCAUCAGUAGAUCUAUUUCUUCUGUAUGCAAACUGGAACGGGUCUAGAGUGGAUGGAAGACCAGCCUUAAUAUGAUCUAGCACCAAUCUCUCAAAACAUUUCAUAACGACAGAUGUUAAGGCUAUUGGUCUAUAGUCAUUGAGAGAUACCACCACUGACUGCUUGGGGACUGGCACUAUAAUCGAUGUCUUCAGGCAGGUAGGGACAGAACCCUGCAACAGGGAUAGAUUAAAAAUGUCCGUAAACACACCAGCUAAUUCUGCAGCGCAGUCCCUAAUAGCCCGUCCCAUGAUUCCAUCCGGUCCAGCUGCCUUCCUAAUGUCAAUGCUCCGAAAGGCACGUUGUACGUCACAGGUCUGUAAUAAAAAUGGUUGUCUAUCAGUAGUAGUUUCUGAUGAUGUGCUGGUAGCCAAUGCUGUAGUGACGGUAGUUCCAGUUCCCACCUCAAGGCGACUAAAAAAUUGAUUCAGUUGAUCAGCCAGGUGCGCACUGCUGCUAGCCAGUUCGUUUUUAAUAUUUUGCCCUGUAAUUUGUCGCAGGCCUUGCCAUACUCGACGAGGGUCGGAGCUCUCAAAAUGUUUUUCGAUCCUCCGGCAGUACAUAGCUUUGGCGUUCCUAAUGCCCUUUUUCAAUUUGGCUCUGGCUUCUCUAUACUGUUGCGCAUCACCAGAGUGAAAAGCAGCAUUUCUUGCCUUUAACAGAAGAUACACAUCCCUGUUUAGCCAGGGCUUGUUGUUAGGGAACACCCGUAUUUGUUUGGUGGUAGUGACAACAUCAAUGCAGCUUUUAACGUAGAACAGUACUGUUGAAGCGUAUGUGUCCACAUUAUUCUCCACAAAGAGCGACCACUCGGUGCUCCGAAAGCAAUCUUGAAGUUGCUCAGAUGCACCUACUGGCCACACUCGUAUCUCUCUAGUUGAUGGUCUAAUUCUGCGUACGAGAGGUCUAUAUGAUGGUAUCAUAAGUAAAGAUAUGUGGUCUGACUGCCCCAAAUUGGGCAAGGGCUUGGUCUUGUAUCCAUGCAUGAUGUUACUAUAUACUCGGUCCAGGGUAUUUCCCCCCCUAGUGGGACAAUCAACAUACUGGUGGAACUUAGGGAGCACAGUUCUUAAAUCGGCUCGGUUAAAAUCACCAGCAACCACAAAUGCUCCAUCCGGGUGGGCCCGCUGCUGUCUGCUAAUAGCAGUUAGCAGGUGGCCCAUAGCUGUAGUAGUGUUUGCAUCGGGAGGUAUAUACACCGCUGUUAUUAUAACAACAUUAAACUCACGUGGCAAAUAAAAAGGGCGGCACUUCACCACUAGGUACUCCAAGUCAGGAGAGCAAUGCGUGUCCAUUUGUUUGAUGUCCGAGCUCCAGUUGUUAUUUAUAUAAACGCAAAUUCCUCCUCCUCUGCUCUUCCCGGAUUCGGCGGUUCUAUCCGCUCUAAUUACUGAGCGUCCUUCUAGCUGCAGAAGUCCCUGUGGAAAGGAGGGAUCCAGCCACGUCUCUAGAAGGACCAUAACACAGCAGUCCCGGAUACUUUUCUGCCGAGAGGUAAUAAGUUCCAACUCCUCUACCUUGUUGGGUAAGGAUCUCACAUUUGAUACAAGGAGACUUGGCAAUGCAGGCUUGUGGGGAUUUUUACCUAGCCUCACUCGUAGACCAGCCCUACAACCCCUCUUCUGCUUGCGCCCCCUCCGUUUUCUUUUCUUUCUGGCAAGGAGAGCAAGGGGAGUAUCCCAAGAAUGUGCAAAAUAUGGAGGCUCUCUGAUAAGCUCAGCUGGAAUGUUAUAGGUUGAGACCUCCUGGCUGCAACCUUCUCCUCUGCCGAUACUUAAGAGCUCUUGACGACUAUAAAUUACUUGUGCCUGAGUAUUCACAGUCCCUAGCAGCAAUAAGUUCACAAGUAAGAAUAAAACACAAAUCACUGAAUACCGGUCUUCGGAGUGCCGAGCCGCUGCAAGUGCUUGCGCCGCCAUUUU